rnacentral:rRNA from 1 species
UUAAAUUGAAGAGUUUGAUCAUGGCUCAGAUUGAACGCUGGCGGCAGGCCUAACACAUGCAAGUCGAACGGUAACAGAAAGCAGCUUGCUGCUUUGCUGACGAGUGGCGGACGGGUGAGUAAUGUCUGGGAAACUGCCUGAUGGAGGGGGAUAA